rnacentral:rRNA from 1 species
UACGUAGGAGACGAGCGUUGUCCGGAGUUACUGGGCGUAAAGGGUGCGCAGGCGGCCUGGCGCGUCGCGAGUGAAAUCUCCUGGCUCAACUGGGAGGGUGGUCGCGAGACGGCUGGGCUUGAGGCUCGGUGAGGGGCGUGGAAUUCCGGGUGGAGCGGUGAAAUGCGCAGAGAUCCGGAGGAACACCGACGGCGUAGGCAGCGCCCUAGACGAGACCUGACGCUCAGGCACGAAAGCGCGGGGAGCGAACAGG